rnacentral:rRNA from 1 species
CGGCGUGGAUUAGGCUUGCAAGUCGUACGCACAGCAAUGUGAGUGGCGCAAGGGUGAGUAAUACGAAGGUAACCAACCCUGAAGUUGGGCAUAGCCGCGGGAAACUGCGGGUAAUUCCCAGCGACGUUGCGAGAUGGCAUCAUCUUGCAACCAAAGGUGUGAUUCCGCCGGAGGAGGGGCCCACGUCCUAUCAGCUAGUUGGCGAGGUAAUAGCUCACCAAGGCUACGACGGGUACGGGGUGUGAGAGCAUGCCCCCGCUCACUGGGACUGAGACACUGCCCAGACACCUACGGGUGGCUGCAGUCGAGAAUCUUCCGCAAUGGGCGAAAGCCUGACGGAGCGACGCCGCGUGCGGGAUGAAGGCCUUCGGGUUGUAAACCGCUGUCAGUGGGGAGGAAAUGCACGGGGGUUCUCCCUCGUGUUUGACCGAUCCGCAGAGGAAGCACAGGCUAAGUUCGUGCCAGCAGCCGCGGUAACACGAACUGUGCAAACGUUAUUCGGAAUCACUGGGCUUAAAGAGUUCGUAGGCGGCAUGUCAAGUCGGGUGUGAAAUCCCUCGGCUCAACCGAGGAAUUGCGUCCGAAACUGGCGUGCUUGAGUGAGAUAGAGGUGAGCGGAACUGAUGGUGGAGCGGUGAAAUGCGUUGAUAUCAUCAGGAACACCGGUGG